AGCAGCCGCGGUAAUUCCAGCUCCAAUAGCGUAUAUUAAAGUUGUUGCAGUUAAAAAGCUCGUAGUUGAAUUUCGGGACCAAUUUGUUGGUCGUGCCUCGGUACGUACUGGUAUUAUUGGUUUCUCCCUUCCGAAGAACCUCGAUGCCAUUAAUUUGGUGUCGUGGGGAAUCAGGACUGUUACUUUGAAAAAAUUAGAGUGUUUAAAGCAAGCAUACGCUUGAAUACAUUAGCAUGGAAUAAUGAAAUAGGACGUUUGAUUCUAUUUUGUUGGUUUCUAGGAUCGACGUAAUGAUUAAUAGGGAUAGUUGGGGGCAUUAGUAUUCAAUUGUCAGAGGUGAAAUUCUUGGAUUUAUUGAAGACUAACUACUGCGAAAGCAUUUGCCAAGGAUGUUUUCAUUAAUCA
rnacentral:rRNA from 1 species